rnacentral:lncRNA from 1 species
AUGAGCCUAAUGGCAGCAAUGGAGACUCUGCAUCAUCUCUUACUUCUUCUUGCUUCUUUUGCAUCAAAUGAGUCAUGAGGCUACUCUCUUCUAUCUGGAUUCACACAAUGAAAAAACUCUCGGUUAAAGUGUUAAAAAUAUAGAUUCUUCUGUUUUUGUUUGAUUCAUUACCUCCAUGACUGCAGUUGAUGCCAAUAGAUUUUCACAUUUGCCAAGCAUAUAUUUUUCUUUUGCAGCUAUAACAGCGAGAUCUGAAACAAGCUUAUUCAUCUCUUCCAUCUGUGAGUGUAGAGAGCAGAUCGAUGAUCCCAUAGUCUGCAUAACAUCAAGUGCUGAGGACAUAGCCAACUUCAGAGUUCCAAGGUCCACCUUUGAUAACAAGAGCGUUACUAAGAUCCAA